rnacentral:rRNA from 1 species
GAGUUUGAUCGUGGCUCAGAGCGAACGCUGGCGGCAGGCCUAAUACAUGCAAGUCGAGCGCACCUUCGGGUGAGCGGCGGACGGGUGAGUAACGCGUGGGAACGUGCCCUAAGGUACGGAACAACUGAGGGAAACUUCAGCUAAUACCGUAUGUGCCCUUCGGGGGAAAGAUUUAUCGCCUUAGGAGCGGCCCGCGUUGGAUUAGCUAGUUGGUGGGGUAAAGACCCACCAAGGCUACGAUCCAUAGCUGGUCUGAGAGGAUGAUCAGCCACACCGGGACUGAGACACGGCCCAGACUCCUACGGGAGGCAGCAGUAGGGAAUCUUGCGCAAUGGGCGAAAGCCUGACGCAGCCAUGCCGCGUGAAUGAUGAAGGUCUUAGGAUUGUAAAAUUACUUUC